GAGGCGCACAAUCAGAACACUUAGGAGGUUUAUGAGGGGUAGGUUUAGCCACCGGUGCAGAUAAAAUAGACCCAUCUGAUGACAUAAUAUACAUAUCCUCAUCCACCAUCCUUUCCUUUUGCACCCCAGAAGGAGACAUAACGAUAAGUUGUUCGGAUUUAGGAACGGAUUCAUCAUGUACUUUAAUGGUGAUGCUGCCGCCGGUGCCGGAAACCCAUCCCUGAUUGUAGAAAUGACGGCAAAGCUCAGCGAUUAAGGACUUGGUCUCUUUGACCUUGUCACCUUCCAAAUAUGCUUGACUGGUAGUCGCCAUUUUCAGAGCUCCGUUUGCUGCAGCCAUAUUUGCUUUAUUUUAU
rnacentral:misc_RNA from 1 species